UUCAAUCAAGUUAACACAAAACUUCUUUCAUGUUUUGUUUAAAUAUCAUUUUAUAUUUCGUAGAAGUCGAUAUUCGUUCAUUGAAUUUCAACUUAUCAAAAGCGGAUAUCAAAAAGUUGGUCCAUCGCCCAGAGCCGCGGACUGUCAACUCGGCACUCUGUUGAGAGGCCGGUCACACUACCGAGAAAGAAACAACCAAAAAGUUUGCGGAAGAGUGCAAGCAUAUUUUUCAUUUUCAAAGGUUAUAACAGCAUCUAGAGGCGUUCACUAAUCGCAAACGUAGGACUAAAGUGCCGGCCAGCCGAAACUGAAAAUAUUCGAAAAGGAAGCAACAGAAGCAGAAGUAGAAGCAGCGGCAAGCAAAAGACUGAUUACCGAUUACAACGUAGCAGCAAGGACUUCUAAAGCAGACACUCGAGGACGCGGAUUAAGAGACCACUGCACCAAACUG
rnacentral:sRNA from 1 species